rnacentral:sRNA from 1 species
GCCAGGCACAGUGGUGAUGUACACCUGUAGUCCCAGCUACUAAGGAGGCUAAGGUGGGAGGAUCACUUGAGCCCAGGAGUUUGAGACCAGCCUAGGCAACAUACAGAGAUCCUGCCUCAA